rnacentral:rRNA from 1 species
AACCCUAGACAAGGGAUCACUUGGCUCAUGGCUCGAUGAAGACCGCAGCAAACUGCGCGACGCCAUGUGAACUGCAGGACACAUGAUCAUUGACACAUUGAACGCAUAUUGCGCUACCACUUUUAAAGAUGUUGGGGGCCGUUAUUUUUAAAAAAUA